rnacentral:rRNA from 1 species
GGGAGGGGUGCAGGCGUUAAUCGGAAUUACUGGGCGUAAAGCGAGUGUAGGCGGUUACAUAAGUCGGGAUGUGAAAGCCCCGGGCUCAACCUGGGAAUUGCAUUCGAUACUGUGUGACUCGAGUUUGGUAGAGGUAAGUGGAAUUCCGGGUGUAGCGGUGAAAUGCGUAGAGAUCCGGAGGAACAUCAGUGGCGAAGGCGGCUUACUGGACCAAAACUGACGCUGAGGCUCGAAAGCGUGGGGAGCAAACAGGAUUAGAUACCCUGGUAGUCCACGCCCUAAACGAUGUCAACUAGCUGUUGGGCUCAUUAAGGAGCUUAGUGGCGAAGCUAACGCGUUAAGUUGACCGCCUGGGGAGUACGGCCGCAAGGUUG